rnacentral:rRNA from 1 species
GACGAACGCUGGCGGCGUGCCUAAUACAUGCAAGUCGAACGAGUUGCGGACGGGUGAGUAACGCGUGGUAACCUGCCUCAUAGCGGGGGAUAACUAUUGGAAACAAUAGCUAAUACCGCAUACAAUCGAUUGUGCCCAGAUGGGAUUGGCUGGUGGGUGGGGUAACGGCUCACCUAGGCGACGAUCCCUAGCUGGUCUGAGAGGAUGACCAGCCACACUGGAACUGAGACACGGUCCAGACUCCUACGGGAGGCAGCAGUGGGGAAUAUUGCACAAUGGGCGCAAGCCUGAUGCAGCCAUGCCGCGUGUAUGAAGAAGGCCUUCGGGUUGUAAAGUACUUUCAGCGAGGAGGCGUUACUCGCAGAAGAAGCACCGGCUAACUCCGUGCCAGCAGCCGCGGUAAUUC